rnacentral:rRNA from 1 species
CGUAGGGUGCGAGCGUUAAUCGGAAUUACUGGGCGUAAGGCGUGCGCAGGCGGUUUGUUAAGAUAGGCGUGAAAUCCCCGGGCUCAACCUGGGAACUGCGCUUAUGACUGGCAAGCUAGAGUACGGCAGAGGGGGGUGGAAUUCCACGUGUAGCAGUGAAAUGCGUAGAGAUGUGGAGGAACACCAAUGGCGAAGGCAGCCCCCUGGGUCGAUACUGACGCUCAUGCACGAAAGCGUGGGUAGCAAACAGGAUUAGAUACCCUGGUAGUCCACGCCCUAAACGAUGCCAACUAGGUGUUGGGAGGGUAAAACCUUUUAGUACCGGAGCUAACGCGUGAAGUUGACCGCCUGGGGAGUACGGCCGCAAGGUUA